AAGUCGUAACAAGGUUUUGCUAAGCAACACAGUCCUUCUGUAGCAGAGCUUAACGGAGACCUUGCACCCGAGAGGGGGGAGGCGACUAUAAACAAGCUUCCAGCGCAAGUCAGCACCCGCUGGCAACACAAUCGAAUUGCGGGGACGCUUUAAAGCCUACCAGUACCAACAGCCCCUGCCGGGGGCUGGGCGAGCGCAGCUCGAGGUCACAACCUGGGAGGAUGCCACAAUAAGCAAUCCGCAGCGGCUCCGGCCGUCCACAGACUAAGUGGUU
rnacentral:misc_RNA from 1 species